GACGAACGCUGGCGGCGUGCUUAACACAUGCAAGUCGAACGGAAAGGCCCUGCUUUUGUGGGGUGCUCGAGUGGCGAACGGGUGAGUAACACGUGAGUAACCUGCCCUUGACUUUGGGAUAACUUCAGGAAACUGGGGCUAAUACCGGAUAGGAGCUCCUGCUGCAUGGUGGGGGUUGGAAAGUUUCGGCGGUUGGGGAUGGACUCGCGGCUUAUCAGCUUGUUGGUGGGGUAGUGGCUUACCAAGGCUUUGACGGGUAGCCGGCCUGAGAGGGUGACCGGGCACAUUGGGACUGAGAGACGGCCCAGAAUCGAACGGGAGGCAGCAGUGGGGAAUAUUGCACAAUGGGCGGAAGCCUGAUGCAGCAACGCCGCGUGCGGGAUGACGGCCUUCGGGUUGUAAACCGCUUUCGCCUGUGACGAAGCGUGAGUGACGGUAAUGGGUAAAGAAGCACCGGCUAACUACGUG
rnacentral:rRNA from 1 species